rnacentral:rRNA from 1 species
CCUACGGGUGGCAGCAGUGAGGAAUAUUGGUCAAUGGACGAGAGUCUGAACCAGCCAAGUCGCGUGAGGGAUGACUGUCCUAUGGGUUGUAAACUUCUUUUAUCUGGGAAUAAAAUGACCCACGUGUGGGAUUUUGUAUGUACCAUAUGCAUAAGGAUCGGCUAACUCCGUGCCAGCAGCCGCGGUAAUACGGAGGAUCCGAGCGUUAUCCGGAUUUAUUGGGUUUAAAGGGAGCGUAGGUGGAUUGUUAAGUCAGUGGUGAAAGUUUGCGGCUCAACCGGAAAAUUGCAGUUGAGACUGGCAGUCUUGAGUAAAGUAGAGGUAGGCGGAAUUCGUGGUGUAGCGGUGAAAUGCUUAGAUAUCACGAAGAACUCCGAUUGCGAAGGCAGCUUACUGGACUGCAACUGACGCUGAGGCUCGAAAGUGUGGGUAUCAAACAGGAUUAGAUACCCUUGUAGUC